CCGUUGACACGCUGUUGGUGCGCAUGCGCGCAGCGGACCCCGGCUGCCCUGACGGGCGGGUCUCCGGAGGACGUCGGACUGGCUUCAGUUCUAGCCAAACCUUGGAGCGACAGCCAGUUGACCAGAGUGGUUCAGCCAGGUGGCCACUCCAGGCGUCCCUGAUGAGCACGGACUGAGGUCACUUCAGGCUACUGUGCUGCCGGGAGAAGAAGUUAGCGCUCCGUGAAGACGCGGCCGAUGUGCUUCACAAAACAAACGCUGUUUGAAAAGCCCGUGUCGUUCCAGUAUUCAGUGGGGGUUGAAAUCACAGUACCGGUACCACCUAAACCCUGGAGGAAGAAGAAAAACGAGUCCAGGAGACGUUCCUAAAGGCACGCGGUCGGCAUCUACACAGAGCACCUGCACACACCCUCCUCCCUGACAAAGAGUCUGGGGUGACUACGACGCCAUUCCGGCCCCAGCCCUGACUCUUGAAAUCCGACCCGAAUAACCAUUCCCGGAACCGGAGCUGCAAACGGAAGUGCAGAAGAAUCCAGCCGGCAGUACUGUGCGGGUCCAGAAGGGGAGCUCGUGGGGGUGUUGUCUGUGCGCAUGCCCAAAUCAGGUCAUCGACACUGCUGUCUGCACCAGGGCAUUUCUGGGCUGAUUGUGGUGAGAUCUUCUCAUUAAAAUAAAAUAAAAGCUGGCAACUUUA